rnacentral:rRNA from 1 species
UCUCAAAGAUUAAGCCAUGCAUGUCUCAGUGCACGCCUUUAUACGGUGAAACCGCGAAUGGCUCAUUAAAUCAGCUAUGGUUUAUUGGAUCAUACCCGUUAAAUGGAUAACUGUAAUAACUCUAGAGCUAAUACAUGCCACGAUGCCCUGACCCUUUUGGGAAUGGGUGCACUUAUUAGAUCAGAAGCCAACCGUGUAUGUCCGAAAGGAUGUGCAUGUUGACCUUCUGGUGACUCUGGAUAAUUGUUACAGAUCGCAGUCGGCCUCGAGUCGGCGACGGGUCCUUCAAAUGUCUGCCCUAUCAACUUUCGAUGGUAGGUGACCUGCCUACCAUGGUGAUAACGGGUAACGGGGAAUCAGGGUUCGAUUCCGGAGAGGGAGCCUGAGAAACGGCUACCACUUCCAAGGGAGGCAGCAGGCGCGCAAAUUACCCACUCCCGGUACGGGGAGGUGGUGACGAAAAAUACCGAUGCGGGACUCUCAACGAGGCUCCGUAAUCGGAAUGAGUGAACUAUAAAUCCUUUCACGAGGAUCAAUUGGAGGGCAAGUCUGGUGCCAGCAGCCG